UACGGAGGGUGCAAACGUUGCUCGGAAUCAUUGGGCGUAAAGCGCACGUAGGCGGCCUGACAAGUCGGGUGUGAAAGCCCUGGGCUCAACCCAGGAAGUGCACUCGAAACUGCCAGGCUUGAAUAUGGAAGAGGGUCGCGGAAUUCCCGGUGUAGAGGUGAAAUUCGUAGAUAUCGGGAGGAACACCAGUGGCGAAGGCGGCGACCUGGGCCAAUAUUGACGCCGAGGUGCGAAAGCGUGGGGAGCAAACAGG
rnacentral:rRNA from 1 species